UCUAUAGUGUUGCAGUCGCAUCCCAUUCCAUACCAUUUAUCUGAAGGGGUGGUGCUUCUUCUUUCUCACCACAGCCACCUUGGACGGCAAGCUCCAACUGUUUGUUCCAUAGCGGCAGAGGAUCCUGAAGGCACAGUAAUACAUCAUAACCUGAAUGUAGCACGAAUAAAUCAUAUCAGAAACCAAGAACUGUGACUGGAAACCAAAUGAUAAGUGUCACAAAUUGGGAAAUGGGUUGAGAUCUGAGGCUCAUGAUGAAGGAAGUGACAUACGUGGUAUUUUCUCAAUGUCUCUGGGAUAAAGGGCUUGCGGGAAACAGAUUAGCAGGAUACUUGGAGAUGAAUGGAUGUUAUUCAGCGAAGAUGAUGAAAGUAAUUCUGAGCCAGAACAGUUGUGUCACAAGCUUCAACUCUGUGUCAGACCAUUAAAGUGAAGAGUGCGUGGUUA